GCCCGCAUGGCUCAGUGGUAGAGCGCAUCACUAGUAAAAUUAUUUCUCUUCGGACCAUUCGGACCAAGGGCAAACAAGCCAAACUAAGGAAAAUCUGGUACAUGAUGAGGUCGUCAGUUCGAUUCUGGCUGUGGGCA